rnacentral:lncRNA from 10 species
GAUAUUUAUUCAUAUAUUUAUAUGUAACAAUUAUAUAGUAUAAUAUAUGACACAUAACAUAUUAUAUAUAACAUAAUGUCAUAUUAUACAUAACAUAAUAUAUAAUAUAUUAUGCUAAUAAUAUUAAUAAUGAUAUACUAAUUAUAAUAUCAAUAUGAUGUAUCAUUAAUAUUAAACACAUCAAUUAAUAUUAAUUAAUACUAAUUUUAAUGUAAUAUAUAAUAUCAAUAUUAGUAUGAUAUUAAGUAUUAUAUAAAAUAAUAUUUAAAUUAUAUACAAUUCCAUAUUUUAGUAUAUAUUAGUAUAUAUACUAAUGUGUACAUAUACAUAAAUAUAUAUAUAAACGAGUGAUACUCUUUUGUAUAUAUAAAUAUUUUCCAUUGUUUUGGGUAUUACUAUUGAUACAUUUUAUCCCUUACUAAUUCAGUCUUGCAUUCUGAUACAGUCACAUUUUUAUCUAGCAAUAAAGAUAAUUAUAUUUGGUAAAGUUUAUCUUUUAUUAUAAAGACUAUGCCUAUGGUAUCUUAAACUGGGUUUUUAAAAUAUGUAAUGUAUAAUGCAAAUGGAAUGCUUAAAUUAGUCUUUUGUCAGGUGCUCAGUAGAAAUAGGUUGAGAUGGUGAGUUGACACAAUAAAUACUCUGUAUUACCGCUCUUUGAUAUACCACUUUAGGUUUAUCUGUUUGGGAAUCAUUUACAGAGUGAUCGUCCAUUUGAUGUUGUAACAGUCAAUUUCCCCUUAUAAUAAAUACUUAUCUGAUGUUUAGCUAUUGUUAUUCACCAUAAGGUUACUUAGCACCUGAAAUAAGUCAUGUGGCCUUGCCAGAUUUAACUAAACUCUUUAUUAAUUUAGAUGCAAUUAAAGAUUAGAAUCACUUUUACAGGAAAGUAAUUUAAUUCCACACUACCUAGGUAACUAGAGGAGCUCUUUGAUUUUGGAAUCCAAGAAAAUUCUUUAAACAAUUUGACUAAGAACUGCAAACCAGCAGGUAUGUGACUAAUCAGAUUCUUAUCUUUUAUCUUCUAAUAUGACAAGAACUGAACCAGAAGCUUCUUCUUUUGCUCUAAUAAGGAAAAUAAAAACAAAACUAUUCAUGAUAUUUUGUAAAGCUUCCCUAUGUUUUUCUGAUUAUUUAUAAAUUUGAUAUUCAUAUUCACCAGAAGGUGUUAAUGCAAUUAUACAUAAAUAGAAAGACACGGAUGAGCUGCUGAAUACUAAUGCUUCACACGCGUAUGGGUAUUCAGGUAGGUAGGGUAUGGAAAUAUACACUAUUCUGGUUUGAAUAAUCAAAGUAGUAUUUCUGCUUAUUUAUUUCUCCUAAGUAUUCUUAAGUGUGUGUGGGUGCAUGUAUAUAUAUACAUAUAAUAUAUAUAUAUGUGUGUGUGUGUGUAACUACAUAUAUAUUCAUUUUGAAUGAAUAUGUACAGAGAGAGAAAUUGAAAUUUUUAUAGGUGGUAUAAAAAUUGAUGCUCUGUGUUAAAAUGUUUUCUUAUGUUUCCACAUCCUUGUCAUGCAGUCCUAUGGUUUUGGAGGGUAGUUCUAUGACAUUAUCAAAAUGAUGGCAAUCUCCUUCACCCAUAUUUUGUCCUACAAUUAUCUGAUAGUAUAAGCUAUGUUGCUUUGACGCAUAAUUUUCCUGUUAAGAUGAAAUAUUAUGCUCAAUUCAGUAUGUUCUGAGGUGAUAAAGGGGGAUUUUUAAAGCCUCCUAUCAUCCCAUUUUCUGAAACAUGGAAUGCUAGGGCAUCUGAAAAUCUCCCUUUUCCCCCUUAAUAUUAAAAGUAAGUCCCAGAUGAUGCACGUAUCACUGAAACAUUUUUAGAUAUCAUGUUAAUUUUUAUCCUUCCUAUUAUUUCAGGCCCAAAAUUUUCCCAGAAAUAUACUUUUUUUUUUUUUUUUUUUUUUUUUUUUUUUUUUUUUUUACAGUAGGGAGAAAGCUCCACCUUUUAAAGUCUUCAGUAAGUCUUGAUUCUGUGAUAAUAAUUAAAGAUAUGUGAUGAUGCUUAGUUAGUUGAACUUGGUAAGUUUAUUGUAUCUUUUCCAUAAGUCUUCUAAGCUCCUCUCAAACAAUUUUAAGAGGCACAAUGAGUCUAUAACAGAUUAUUUUCCCUUCUAUUUCUCAUAUAAACAUGCAAACAGGCCUCUCCAUAUAAAGGGAGUAUGUGCAUACAUAUCAGGUGAUUUUAACGUACAAUACUUUCGGGUAUGAAGGAAAAGCUUAUAUAGAAGGGUAUUGAGGAUGGACUACAGCCAAUAGCCAGUAAGAUAUUGAGGCCCUCAGUCCAAAAUUCCACAAAAAAUUAAGUGCUGCCCAUAACCACAUCAGCUUGAAAGCAGAUCCUUUCCAAGUGGAGACUCAGUGGUACCAAAGCCUAGUGCAGAAACCUGACUGCAGCCUUAUAAGAACUUGCAUGCAGAGGACCCAGUUAUGCUAUACUCUGGCACUUGCCUCACAUAAAUCAUGUCAUCCUCAAUUGUUUUCUCUCAGAACCAGUUGGCUUUCUGACCCUGCCUCCCCACUCUCACUCCUAGGAUCAUUACACCCAUCAAUUCCUGUAGCAAGAAAUAUCUGGGGGAAAUUGUUUCCUUUUUUUUCUAUUUUUACAUGAACUAUGAAAUAAUAUAUAUAUAUGUAAUUAGUCACUAAUUUCGUGGUAAUAUUGUUAUGUAGCAAUAGAAAAUGAAUACCCCCUGUCCUCCUAUGGACAUUUUCCCUCUCAUAGUCUAUUCUCCAUAGAGCAGGUAAGUGAUUUUUUUUAACUAAGUUAUUACCAAACAACCUUAAUUGUUUAUAUUUAUUUAUUUAUUAACUGAAAAAUGUUUAACUCCUCUUUUUUGUACUAUACUGUACUUUAAGACUGAAGGUAUAAAUAUAAGCAGCUAUGUACUUAUCUGUACUUGUAUUUCCAUUUACUUAUCCCCAUUCAGUUUUCAAUGCAAUGAAAUUUAUUACUCUACUCAAUUGUCUUGUCACAUUUGAGUUUCUAAAAUCUGUUAAAACUAGCUUUUUCAUUUAAGUCAUUAGUGUUCUUCCAAGUUGUCUUUUCACUUCAAACAUCAUCCUACCUGUUUUUAAGAAUUAAAGUUUUUGCCUAUAUUCUUGAACUAAUCUCUUUCUUUGAUUACUACAGCAUGUUAUCUUAUUUUUUUUUUCAUUCUCUGGCUUUUUGUUCUUAGCUUUUUAUUAAAAGGAACCAGUUUCACUUCCAAAUUAACUUAUUGAUCUAUUAAUGCAGGAAUCCAUGAAUAAAUUAAUCCAUUUAUGAGGGCAGACCCCUCAUGAUCAAAUCACUUUUUAAAGACCAUGUUGGGGAUUACAUUACCAAUGGAUAUGAGGGUGGUCUGGCUAUGACAUCGUCACCUGAUCAAUCAUCAUGAUUGAAUUGGCCAAUGUGGCUGGCUAGGCAGGUGUCCCUUCCCUCACUCACUGCUCCAUGUUCAUUCCUCCAGAAGCUGUGCGCUCAGUUAAAGAGGAUGACCUUCCCUGAUAGAAGAUGACCUUCCUUGAUAGAGGAGGACCUUCUUUGGUCAAGGGUAUAUAAACAGCUGUACUCCCCUGCUACAACCUCCAAGCAAACUCUCAAGGUCCAUAAGUUUCCAACACAUGAAAUCUGGGGAUAUUAAAACCACAGCAUCCACCAACUAUCCAAGCUGUCCAAGUCAGAUCCUUCUGUGUCAUCUCCAAUUAUUUUCUCUCAGAACUACUUGGCUCUCUGACCUUGCCUCUCCACCAUCACCCCCAGGAUCAUUACACCUGUCAAUUCUUAUAGUAAGAAACAUCUGGGAAAUUUGUUUCCUUUAUAUUCUUAUUUCCAUUGGUGAGUUUUGGCCUAAGUCAUUUCAGUGGAUUUUAAAAUAUUUUCUCUCUCUGUAGUUUGCUUCCUUCCUCCUUGCUUCCUACUCAUUUUCUACACUAUUGUCAGAUUGAUGUUGCAAACAUGUAAACCAGUCUAAUCAUCUCUCGUUACUCAUAUGCAAAUUAUUAUAGUGUUCAAAUGUCUUAAUGUUGCUAUGUAAGAUGAUUUAUAAACAUAAUUACUCCUGGCUCUUUCUCUUGUUAUUCUUCCGUUUAUAUGUCCUAAGUUACCCAGUAUCCUCUUCCUCACCUCAGUGCUUUGCAUAUACCCUUUUCUUACUCGCAGACAUUCUACCUUGUCUCUUGACUCAUUCUUACUGUCUUGGAGGAGGAGAAAAACAACAGUUUCCUUCCUUAUAGACUCCUGAGAUAUUUCCUUCUAUCCCUUGUUUCCUUGUUGAGUCAAAUUUUCUCAUUAUGCUUUCAAAGUAUACUGUUUACAUAUUAAUUGCAGCACUCAAUGUACUUUAUUUUAGAUGUUUGCUUAGUUUUUACCUCUUUUGAUUAAGAUAACUAAGAUAAUUAUUUUUUUGAGACAGAGUCUUGAUCUAUCACUAAGGCUGGAGGGCAGUGGCACAAUCUCAGCUCACUGCAACUUCCACCUCCUGUGUUCAAGCAAUUUUCCUGUCUCAGCCUCCUGAGUAGCUGGGAUUACAGGUGUGCACCAUCAUGCCCAGAUCUUUUUUUUUUUUUUUUUUUAGUAGAGAUGGGGUUUUGCCAUCUUGGCCAGGCUGGUCUCAAACUCCUGACCUCAGGUGAUCCGCCUGCCUCAGUCUCCCAAAGUGCUAGAAUUAUAGGGGUGAGUCACCAUGCCUGGCCACAUAGUUAUAAAUUUCUAAACCAUUCAUUAAGAUGUAGUUUCUGGCACAUAGUAGGGACCAAAUAAACAUUUUCUAGCUUUAAGUCAUAACACGUGAAAUUCUUUUUUUUUUUUUUUUUUUUUUUUUUUUGAGACAGAGUCUCACUCUGUCACCCUGGCUGGAGUGCAGUGGCACGACCUUGGCUUGCUGCAACCUCUGCCUCCCAGGUUCAAGCAAUUCUCCUUCCUCAGCCUCCCCAGUAGCUGGGAUUACAGGCACCACCACCAGGCCCAGCUAAUUUUUUUUUUAAGUACAUAUACACCAUGUAUUUCACCAUGGUGUAUUUGUAUACACCAUGUUGGCCAAGCUGGUCUGAAACUCCUGACCUCAAGUGAUCUGCCCACCUCGGCCUCCCAAAAUGCUAGGAUUACACCUGGCCUAAAUUCUUUAUUAGUCAUUGAUAGCCUAGCCCAAAAGAAUUAUUUCAGUAAAUUACCAGCUACUUAGCAAGGAUAAAAUGAUGUGGGAAACAGGGCAAAAGAGUUUGAAUGAAGGAGAAAGGGUCUUGAACGUGGAAAGGUAGGCCAGAAUGGUAGAACAGUACAGCAUUGAAGGGUACUGGUACAAUAGACUGGAUAAGGGAGAAAGGAUAUGGAAGAAUAGGAAGAGAAUCACACAGAGAAGGAUGGAGUGGUGCUAAUGAAACACUCAAUGGGCUUUUUCUACUUCACAAACCCUCAGGUCCAACUGAAUGGUCAUCUUCACUUGAAUGGUAAAAGUCACAGUCAGUAUCAGUGAUUUACUACUCACUUACUUUUCUACUUCAUUGCCAACCACUGAGUUAUGAUUUAUCAAAAGUAAACUGUAGAUAAAGGCAAAGGCAUUCCUUUUAAAACCGUAUGACUUUAAGAAUGGAAGGACUGAUACAUCAAUUGAUGGAUCUUUGGCUAUAACACAGUUCUCAAGCUACAGAUGCCAAUGUGAAGCGACAGAUGGCACGCUGAAACUCUGUUAGCUGUGCAUCCUGAGUCACAGGAAGAGCAGAGGGGUCAAGGCUCAGCAGGUGAUGAAGUACUGCACUGAAGUGCUCGUCUCUGCUUGCUGUUCAUGAGCAGUGCAUGCCUUAUUGAUUAUUACAGUGUCUAUAUUAGGUAUUUGUCAUACACUUUUUUAUUUACCCAUUGGAUAUCAGAGUUGGAAGGAACUCUUACAGAUUUUUCUUCAGAUAGUUUGUUUUAAGAUGCAGAAACUCAGAAAGUUACAUUUAUUAUCCAAUAGCAAUGCCAAAUGAGGACCAGGACAAGGAGAAGAACAGUUGGAACAUGGUCUUCAAUGUCAUGGUAGCUGUGUUGUUUUCGCUUUCAUUUUAAUUCAUAACACUUCGCCACUUAGUUUUAUGUCCCACCAACCAUUGGACCAUUCAUGUCACAUUGCUCAUAAUAACUAUUCUGAUCCUUUGAUUUUUUUUUUUUGGCAACGCUUCUGAAAACAGGACCUUGAUAAUAAGAACUCUGUAAAGUUUUUCAGAAGAAAAAUUUUAUUUAAUAUAAAAGAAAAAUUCAAAUAUCCCCACUAUCUAAUAAUAACGCAAUGGACUGCUUCAUAGACUUAAGGGAUCUCAAUCACUAGAAGUGUUCAAAAGCUGACCACCUUUCAGAGAAAAUCAUAAGGAAAACUUCUGCAUUGGCUAGUAGUAUAGCUUGGAUAUUUGUCCGCACCCAAAUCUCAUGUUGAAACGUAAUCCCCACAGUUAUUGGUGGGGCUUCGUGGGAGGUGUUUGGAUCAUUGGACUAGAUCCCUCAUGAAUGGCUUAGUGUUAUCCCUGUGGUGGUAAUAAGUGAGUUCUUGCUGUGAGUUCACAUAAGAUCUGGUCAUUUAAAAAUGUGUGGCACCUUCCACCCCACCCCCACCACCUCAUGCUGUCUCUCUCUGGCCAUG